UACGUAGGGUGCAAGCGUUGUCCGGAAUUAUUGGGCGUAAAGAGCUCGUAGGCGGUUUGUCGCGUCUGCUGUGAAAACCCGAGGCUCAACCUCGGGCCUGCAGUGGAUACGGGCAGACUAGAGGUAGGUAGGGGAGAAUGGAAUUCCCGGUGUAGCGGUGAAAUGCGUAGAGAUCGGAAAGAACACCAACGGCGAAAGCACUCUGCUGGGCCGACACUGACACUGAGAGACGAAAGCUAGGGGAGCGAAUGGG
rnacentral:rRNA from 1 species